ensembl:lncRNA
GAGACAAUGUCUUCAUCAUCUCCAUUUGUCUAGCCGCUCUGUCUCAGCCCUGUAGGCCUCUCCCUUUCUUGAAAUCUCGUGGUGGAGGCCUUGGAAAAACCUUUUUCGGUGUGUAUUACCAAUUCUGCACCUCAGGUGGUUUUAGGUCAAGUUUUCACAACAAGCACUUCGGACAGAGUGGAAUGUUUGCUGUUGGUGGCCCCGUUCUGGCCCACUCAGACGUGGUUCUCGAGACCUGGUCAGCCUGCUAGCCGCCCCUCCCUGGGAGGUUCCCCUCAGGCACAAUCUGUUGAUGCAAGCUCGGGGC